UAACUCAUACAAUCUAUCAACUUUAACUUGAAUACUGUGAGCAUAAAUAUUCUGUUCAAUGUGUAGAGGCUAUUUUAUUUGUGUUGUUAUGUUAUGUUGACUGGACCCUUCCUGUUUUUAUAGGGGAGACUGCCCUGGCCUCUCCUCCUUAGGAUGUGUGGCCGUAUUUAGUUUGUUGGUCACUUAUCCACACCUGUCCGACCUGGGUGAUGUGUCCAAGACUGACCAAGAAAUACAGUGACAUAUCUAACUCCUAAAGAAAAUUUUAAGCAGUCUGUUCAGUCUGUUCAGUCUUUGUACUGAUUGGUUCUGUUUACUAAGGUUUCUUACUCCAACAACUAGACUAGCGUUUUCUUUGUUAUAAGCUAAGCUGUAAAAGAAAGAUUUAUAUUAACUGUGAAAUAAGUUAAAUAACUCAAAGUAAAAUGAGGAAAAUGUCUUUCCUAUGAUGCAGUAUUAGGCCACAUUAAGAAGAAAAAUAUUAUUUAUCAUUUUGAGAAAAAAGUUGAAGUUUCAAGAUUAAAGUUGUAAUUCUAUUUUGAGAAAAAACAAUCAGAAUGUUACAGUUGUUGUAUCAAGUAAACUGUCACGGCUACUUUACCCUCUGCAAUAUGUCUUGUGUAGUUGGGUUAAUGGGAUCGUACUUCAGAAUCAGUUUUAGUUACAAGGAAGUUAUUUCUUAGCACAUAAACAGUGUGGAGAGGACUUUAAGGACAUUAAAAAGAUGGCGUAGAAAGUCGCAUCUGGUCAGACGGAAAACUGCUGAAGAAAUUCCAACUGUAUUCUCAAAAUGAUUAAUAAUAUAUAUUACUAAUAUAUUACUAAUGCUCCUCCAUACUUUUCCACCUUUUACCAACAUUAACAGAAAAAAAAGUUUAUAUGAAUGACUUGUAUAACUCAUAUUUAAAGACUUGAAAAAUACAUAUAUAUCAAGAUUUGCAAUAAUGGCAAUUAUUCAGUAGAAAAUAACCACGUUGUGGUGCCACUUUACCUUCCAGAAUUACUCCUUUGCACAGAGUUGACAGUAAAACAGGUAUUACUGUCUUACUGCUUUCUACCAAGCAUCUUAGUCCUUUCAAUAUAAAGAAUGCAGCUAAAACCCAUUUGUAGCUCUGCAUGCACCUGUCUUUCCAUGAUACAAACCAAAAGUGAAAGUAAUGUGAACACUUCUUACACUGCGCUAAAGUAACAAAUCCUUUGAAUUAAUUUUCACAUUGGCAACCUGUUUAAAUGCAAUAAUUUUGAAGCAUUACGAAUGAAAGCUAACUCCAUGUUUAAGUGAAAAGAAAUGAGAUUAACAAGGCCAUCUGUUUUUUUAUGGUAAUAGCAGAAAAUGAAAAACAUAAACACAGCACAAGUUUUAAAGUGUUCAAACUUGCAUGGACAGGGACAAGCAGAGUUCAGUUACACAGGUAGUCAUAUGUCUCACUGUUCAUUCACUGUUUAUUAACUGGUUCUUAAACAAAGAGAUGUUAUCUUAAACUCGAAAUUUCUGACUAUUGCAGUGCAUUGAAAAACAAAACAGCCAAAAAAAUGAAAUGGUAAAUGCAGAAAGUCUUAUAAAAGACCUGAAAACUUCAGUGCCAUUGUCUCACAGUAACAAAGCGAAAACACUGAUAUUUGUUUUCUUUUUUUUUAUUCAGUUUUUUUUUCUUCUCAAGAGACAGACACGGUUUUGAGUUUAGUUAAACAUUAUGUGGUCGAACCAGUUGAGCUGCUGUGCAAGGUGUGUGCCAUUGUGUUCCUCCUUGAAUAAUCCUCACUCAACGGACUGCAUUAGUGUGGAUGAAAGACAUGCAAGUAGGUGUUAAACUUGUUUAUCUAGGCACAGUUUACCAGAAACAGCAACACAAGGAAUUUUUGACAAAGGCACAGAGAACACAUUAUCAAGUGCUGUCCAAAAAACAAAAAAAAAAACCCAAAUAGGAACUGUUAACUGUUAAAGCACCACUCUGUGUACUGUUUAAGAAUACUUUAGUCUUAUAAAGGUUGAACCUUGUUCUGAUUUUAAAAAAACAACAGAAAAAAAAACUCCUUGUGGACUUUGAACUUUGUGGUUUGUGUUGGUUACACUGUAGUCAAGAAUUCGAAGCAGGAAGUUUUAGGAUUAUGCGCAUUGCUGAGACUCGGUUGCAGACAGGAACAGAAAGAGAGAGAGGCAGGGAGAGAGAGGGAGGGACUUGUCCUGAAUCAGUACAAUGACGUGCUGUGCGGUGCAAUUUUCACAUGACUCAAGCACUUGUGGGUUACUUUGGUAAGGUGUGGAGCUGAAUACCCAGUGGAAAUGCACACUUUGGAGUGGAUUACAACACGAGGUUUUAAAGAAAAGAAAUAUGCGUAGAAGAAUGCUGUAGGACUGCUGCAGAUACCUAAAGAAGAAUGUUGGCUCUUGGAUGGUCUUUCUGGUGUAUUUUACUGAGUCUACACAUGCCAGCUCAUGGCUUGGAGAUUUUUGAACUUGACAGCCAUGAAGUCAUUUGCUCACAGGGUCUCUCUAAAUGCAAGAUGAAAGAUGAGAUGCCUGUUAAUCCCAGCAAAAACACUGUGGAUGUUCGGACACUAAAACCAGAUUUUAAGCUCUGCUGUACGAACAAGACAGCAUGUGCAUUAUGUUUGGUGAUAGACAUAGAGUUUAACAUCGAUCCAGAUGAAGACAUGGAAGACCAAGGCUCCUCUGGGUCAGAAAUGGAAGAAUACAGAGAAGACAAGAUCACUUCAAAAGGGUCAUUGACAGUAUGUUAUUGCACAGAAGCGUCCAUGCCAAAGUGCAAGAAGGUGGUGUUUACAGUUAAUCAUGAAGCUCUUACUCAACAAAACCAGCUAAAGAUCUCAGUGGUGAUUACUCAGUCAGAUGGCUUUCCCUUUGAAAUCUCCCUGAUUGUCCGUAGCUCAAGUAUCACUGAAAGGGUUGCUGCUCCUUCUUUUAAUGAAGUGUGCUCCCAGGAACUGCAGAAAACUUUACCAGAGUGUCAAGUGCCCAAAUUCACAUUUGCAGUAAACUCAAAGAUGAAUCAAGUGGAGCUGCAGCUUGAAGACGGGAAUAAGAUCCCCCCCUCGAUGUGCAUCCAGUACGAGCAGAAGGGAAGGUGUCAGAGUUGGAACAGGAUGACCAUACCACUGUACUCCGUAACCCGCUGCAUGUGUCUCCAGCUGUGGUACGAGGAUGGACAAAGGUCUACACGGUCACUACAAUGCCCAUUCAAUAAAUCUGAUUCUCUGAAUGAAUCACAAAAGAACAUAUGGGAAAAUAUCACCGUGUCAAAGCCCCAUGUACAAAUGACCAGCUUUGGAGAAAUGUUAUCCUGGAACGUGUCUGCGCCUUGCAGGCUGGAUGGUAAAGUGUGGCUGCUUAAGAAACACAGUCGAAGCAGGAGUGCCUUCAGCCAACAGCUGGAAAAUGGCACUGCAUGGAAACAAAACAUCAAGGGACUCUGGGUGAACACAUUUGUGUUUGAAAAUGUACCCGUCCGGCCCUUGCCGUGUUUGAUGAUGAGAGUAAAGGGAAUGGAACAUGACCUAGGUCCAUUUUGUUUUGAUGACAAUGUUGCAGCUGGCAGGUGGCGCUGGAGUCUCCUAGCCACUGCUGUUAUACUCCUGGCUUUCAUUACUGUGCUCAUAUUAUGGUCCUUUCAUAAAUCUAUCAAGGGAUGGGUGUGGAGCUGGCAACACGGUGGGAUAGUAAAAAUUGGUAAGACGCGUCAUGUUGUCCUGCUGAGCCCCCCAGACGUGGAUGAUGCCACUUCUAAGUUGGUGUGUCAGAUCGGGUCCACCCUCAGCGACAAGGGCUUCAGUGUGUCUGUCGACCAGUGGAGCAGGAGGGAGCAGUGUAAUUGGGGGCCUCUGCCAUGGCUGCAUUCACAGCUGCUGGAGCUUAAUAGCCUGGGUGGCCGAGUUCUGCUGGUUCUGACACGUAGAGCCUUGGAGAGAACCGAAGAAUGGAUGCACUGGAACAAAGAUAUUAUCAACGAAAGCAUGGGGAACAAAGAAAAUGAUCUACCAAAGCUGUGGUCACCUUAUUCUGAUUUGUUCACAGCCUCCCUGUUCCUCAUUCAAGCUGAAAAGCUCCUUGAUAGGGCUGGUAAACGUUUCGUUCUGGUGAAAUUUGAUUCCCACCCAAGAGAGACUCACACCAGAGACAGGCGUUUACCAGAGCUUCUUCAGGGGCUGCCUCUGUUUAGUUUUCCCUCUCAGACUCAGUCUCUCCUAGCUGAGCUAACUGUGACAAAGACAGAGAGAGGAUCAUAUGGAGGAAGGUAAAAGUGAGGUACUCCAAUGGCUAAAAAGGGACCAAGACCAGCAAGAAGGCAUCAUCGUGUAAAUCACCCAAAUGUACUUUAAUAAGUUGUAUUGCUUUAGUGUGUACAUGAAGAAUAUGUUCAUCAGAGUUAAAAAAAAAUCUGCUUAAGCAGAAGCAGCUGCUGUACCAGGACAGUGUAUACAAACUGACAGUAUAAACUAAGUCUUUACAUGUCUUGAGAGGAUUAUCUCUGUACACAAAGACAACGGCAAAAAAUCUGGAUGAUCUAAGGUUCACUGUUCAUUUUGGUCUUUUCGGGGAUUUUUUGAAAGUAAGAACGGUUAUAGUCUUAUUUUCAAAGCUGCAAAAGUGUAACUCCUACAGACUAAAAAUAACCGUGCACGGUAAGUCUGUCCACACCUGUCUAUAAAUAUAUUUGCCUCUGUUUUUGUUGUUUUGUUUGGUUUAAACGCUAAAACACAUCGAGUUGUGAUUGGUCUUUGGAAGGACAGCGGCUCUUAUUGGGCCAGUGUAAGGACUUACUGAAGUACUUGUUAUAAGUAUUACCACGUUCCGUAAGAGCGGUGCCUUGGGACGAAUAUGUGCUCCGCCCGCGCGGGAGGUGUGGGUUAUUUUUUGCAAUCGAACACAACGCAGCCAACAGCCGGGUCAUGUGUCAAGCGUGUCUGUCUUGGAUUCACUCCUUUUAAAGUUUACUGCCCGUUUCACCCUAUAGCAGCUCGAAGGUAACGAAUACUCUUCAUUUAAGAGUCAGUUUGUUGCUGGUCGUGUUGCCUGUUAUAGUGUCAGAUUUUCUGUCGGCUGAUAUAUUUUUUUUCAACGUGAAACAUGAAGAAGCAGAGACUGGCAUAAAGGCUACUUUAUAUUUAGAAGCACGGUAACCGAAUGGGCAUGAAGAAUCUCCACAGAAACCUGCUUCAGGGUGUUUGUCUAUGGAGUCUGCUGGCUGUUCAGGUGAGCAGUUGUCCAGAUAGCUGCAGUCUGUGUUCAGGGCCAGAAAAUGACCAGUGUGAGGAAUGCAGAGCUGGAUGGACGCUCCAUAAUAAGAUCUGUGUAGACAUCGAUGAGUGUGGCACACAGCUGGGUAACUGUCCUCCAAACAGUUACUGCUUUAAUACAGAAGGAUCCUUUGAGUGCAGAGGCUGUGACGUGGCCUGUGUGGGCUGCAUGGGUAGCGGACCAGCACGCUGCAGGAAAUGUGCUUCUGGGUACAGACUGACAGGGUCCAAGUGUUUGGAUAUAGAUGAAUGCAGUGACCGUGUGCUUGCCUGCCAUGGUCUGGAUGAGAUUUGUACCAACACAGAAGGAUCUUUCCGUUGUGACUGCGCUGAAGGAUUCAUCCGCAUGGACAGUGUUUGUGUGAAGAAGCAGUUGCCUCAUUUUGAGGAGAAAGGUCUAUUUGAGGAUAUCCAGGAUGAUGAGGUGGAGGUACUGAAGCAGAUGUUUUUUGGGGUGGUCCUUUGUGCUCUGGCAACACUUGCAGCAAAGGGAGAUUUGGUCUACACAUCUGUGUUUAUGGGAGCAUUGGCAGCCAUGGCGGGUUACUGGCUUUCUGAUAGAGGAGACCGUUUGUUAGACAGCUUUGUAAAGGGACGUUAGAGUUGCAGACUUUUGCAAAGAGAACUUUACAGGAAGUGGACAAACCAAUGUGCUACUGCAUAGAGUGGCUUGGAGUUUUGCAUUAUUUUGUAUUGUGUGGAAUAUAAUAAGUACUUUUAAAAAUGUCUUGUUUGUUAAAGUAUAUAAACUGUUGCUUUAAGUUUAUGCUGCUUGUAAAUGUGUUUGAUUCAGGAGGGUGACAUUUAGUGUGCCUUAUCUUCUGCAAGAGUGCAGAUUUUCUCAGACUCGUGGGUUUAAAAUGGUUUUCCAUGAGUCAGUGGGUGAUAUCAUGGUCCUUAUGGAGUAUGGAAAAGAAAAUACAUUUGUGCAGUGAGAUUCACAAAAGGUUGAUUCAGUUAAGCAGCUAAAGAAUUGAAGUGCAUUUUGUGGUAUCUAACAUUGUCUUAUUUCUUAGAAUAAAAUUACAGAUGUCUUGAAUUCUACGUACACAUUGCAGUUUUAGUGGGUUUGAUUACGGAGAUUCAAGUGAAACCUGUUAAAUCUUUAAAAGUAUUGGCACAGGCACCCAGGGAAAAAACUGGCUUUCAGGGUCUCAAGUAUCUUUCUGACAAGGACAUUAAUGAAGCAGGAGACAUCUAAAUACCACAGUGAUUGUUGGCUCACUUUACACAAGUAAGAGCCAAAGAAUCCAAACUAAAGGCCUAAACAAAGGGGGGAGAAGGUAUCUUAGCAGAAGGCUUAGUAAGAAAGCCAUGUGUUUAGAUUAUUAUCUGUAUUAAACAAAGACAUUAAUGUUGUGCUCCUGCACAAGGUACUGACCAUGGCCAGUUUUCCAUAUAAAAUGGACUGCUGUAUGUACUGCAUUGGAAAUGAGCCACGAUUGGGUUUUUCUGUAUUUGGAGCCGCCAAAAUACAAUGAGAGGAUAAAUUCACCACCUUCUUUUUUUUUUUUUAGGUACACCUGUUCAGCUGCCGUUAUGCAAAUAUAUAGUUGGCUAAUGAUUUAAGUGACUUUGACUAUGUCAAGGUUGUUGUUGUCAGACAGCCUGGUCUCAGUAUUUCACAAACUGGUGAUCUAUUGAAAAUUUUCCAAGAUAACCAUCUCUAUAGUUUACAGAUGAUGGUCCAAGGCAUGUGGACCCCAGCUCAGCAGCCAGACCCUGAACUUUAACAUGUAGCAAAAGCAGCGAUGAGCAGUUAGGCUGCUGCCUCCAUUUCUACCUGUUCAUGUUUCUGAAGUCAAAGUCUCUCUGUGCUGGUUUUCAUCAGUGCUUUGUGCCGUCAGCACAAACUAAAGGAACGAUUAUGUGUCCUCAUUAGGAUCCUGAUUUGUGUUGGUGUGUGGGAAUUUGUAGUAAAGCUGUUAUGUUCAAUGCUUUCCAUGUGCACAUUUUUCAAGGUAUAAAUGCUCAAAUAAAUACUUUACACACAGUUA